GCUAAACUAAUUUUAAUUUUUGAAUCACGUGUGUAAGAGGGUUCCCACAUUCCUGGUCCAUCUUGGUUACGGUUGGCAACCAUCUUGUCCUACCCAGACAUAUUUCAUCCACGUGUGAUAAUAGGAGUAAGGCUCAAUAAUGCUCCUUUGUUUUAGGUUGGGGGAUCAGGAUAAGCCCCACUUAUCGGGCAUUUGGGGGCGGCGUUUUUUGCCGCCCCCGGAAAGUGCCCCCCAAGGCAAAUGCCUUGUUUGCCUCGUGGCAAAUACACCGUUG